CAGCCGCGGUAAUACGUAGGUGGCAAGCGUUGUCCGGGAUUAUUGGGCGUAAAGCGCGCGCAGGUGGUUUCUUAAGUCUGAUGUGAAAGCCCACGGCUCAACCGUGGAGGGUCAUUGGAAACUGGGGAACUUGAGUGCAGAAGAGGAAAGUGGAAUUCCAAGUGUAGCGGUGAAAUGCGUAGAUAUUUGGAGGAACACCAGUGGCGAAGGCGACUUUCUGGUCUGAAACUGACACUGAGGCGCGAAAGCGUGGGGAGCAAACAGGAUUAGAUACCCUGGUAGUCCACGCCGUAAACGAUGAGUGCUAAGUGUUAGGGGGUUUCCGCCCCUUAGUGCUGCAGCUAACGCAUUAAGCACUCCGCCUGGGGAGUACGGUCGCAAGACUGAAACUCAAAGGAAUUGACGGGGGCCCGCACAAGCGGUGGAGCAUGUGGUUUAGUUCGAAGCAACGCGAAGAACCUUACCAGGUCUUGACAUCCUCUGACAACCCUAGAGAUAGGGCUUUCCCCUUCGGGGGACAGAGUGACAGGUGGUGCAUGGUUGUCGUCAGCUCGUGUCGUGAGAUGUUGGGUUAAGUCCCGCAACGAGCGCAA
rnacentral:rRNA from 1 species